rnacentral:rRNA from 1 species
AUUGAACGCUGGCGGCAUGCCUUACACAUGCAAGUCGAACGGCAGCACGGGAGCUUGCUCCUGGUGGCGAGUGGCGAACGGGUGAGUAAUGCAUCGGAACGUGCCCUGAAGUGGGGGAUAACGUAGCGAAAGUUACGCUAAUACCGCAUAUUCUGUGAGCAGGAAAGCAGGGGAUCUUCGGACCUUGCGCUUUUGGAGCGGCCGAUGUCGGAUUAGCUAGUUGGUGGGGUAAAGGCCCACCAAGGCGACGAUCCGUAGCGGGUCUGAGAGGAUGAUCCGCCACACUGGAACUGAGACACGGUCCAGACUCCUACGGGAGGCAGCAGUGGGGAAUUUUGGACAAUGGGCGCAAGCCUGAUCCAGCCAUGCCGCGUGAGUGAAGAAGGCCUCGGGUUGGUAAAGCUCUUUCGGUUGGGGGUAAGGAAAGUUAGCUUGGGGUUAAUACCCGUGAGUAGAUGA